rnacentral:rRNA from 1 species
UACAGAGGUCCCAAGCGUUGUUCGGAUUCAUUGGGCGUAAAGGGUGCGUAGGCGGCGCGGUAAGUCGGGUGUGAAAUCUCGGGGCUUAACUCCGAAACUGCAUUCGAUACUGCCGUGCUUGAGGACUGGAGAGGAGACUGGAAUUUACGGUGUAGCGGUGAAAUUCGUAGAUAUCGAGAGGAACACCGGUGGCGAAGGCGGCGAUCUGGACAGUGACUGACGCUGAGACGCGAAAGCGUGGGGAGCAAACAGG